ensembl:lncRNA
GUCUAGUCAGGCUAUAGAUGGUGGUGUAGAUGAGGCUGGGUCUAGUCAUUUUAUAGAUGGUGGUGUUGAUGAGGCUGGAUCUAGUCAGGUUAUAGAUGGUGGUGUAGAUGAGGCUGGGUCUAGUCAGGCUACAGAUGAGACUGGGUCUAGUCAGGCUACAGAUGGUGGUGUUGAUGAGGCUGGGUCUAGUCAGGCUACAGAUGGUGGUGUAGAUGAGGCUGGGUCUAGUCAGGUUAUAGAUGGUGGUGUUGAUGAGGCUGGGUCUAGUCAGGUUAUAGAUGGUGGUGUUGAUGAGGCUGGGUCUAGUCAGGUUAUAGAUGGUGGUGUAGAUGAGGUUGGGUCUAGUC